CCUUGAAUUUACCAAUCACGACCUUUCCCGCUUUUCGUCUGCGACAAGCAGUGGAACAAUAUUCGCAAUUCAGCACAUGUUAUGGCAUAACUGCAUAAGGAAGAGAUGACAAGAAGUGUAAUACACGUGUGGUGUUGGUGCGUAAUUGGCUACAUUGCUAUACAAUUAUACAGUGUUUAUUUGGCACUUGAUGUACAAAAAUGAAAGUUUUCAAGGUUUGGAAUGCAGCACGAACAAUUAAAAAAUUUGUUGCAGUGCACGAAUGCGACAGUCUUCUUCAGGAACUUAUUUCUAAAGCCAGUCGAAAAUUAAAUAUACACGAAUCAGAUGAGCUUAAGCUGUAUUUAGAGUCAGACGGAACUGAAGUUGAUGAUGAUUCCAUAAAUUUGGAAACCAUUCAAAAUCAAGUGUUGUUGUUAUUAAAGAAAAAUGAAGUGUGGCAACCAUGUAAUGACACUGCUAAAA